ACUGGGAGAGGUCGUUCAAUACUACCAGACUUGAGAACAGUAGAGGAAGAUGGAAUUCCCGGUGUAGUGGUGAAAUGCGUAGAUAUCGGGAGGAACACCAGUGGCGAAGGCGAUCUUCUGGACUGUUUCUGACGCUCAUACACGAAAGCUAGGGUAGUAAACGGGAUUAGAGACCCCGGUAAUCCUAGCCGUAAACGAUGUGAACUUGGCGUCGGUGGCUUAAACACUAUCGGUGCCGAAGCAAACGCGAUAAGUUCACCGCCUGGGGACUACGAUCGCAAGAUUAAAACUCAAAGGAAUUGACGGGGGCCCGCACAAGCAGCGGAGCGUGUGGUUUAAUUCGAUGCUACACGAAGAACCUUACCUGGGCUUGACAUGCAAGUGGUAGAGAUCUGAAAGGUGACCGACCCGCAAGGGAGCUUGCACAGGUGUUG
rnacentral:rRNA from 1 species